rnacentral:rRNA from 1 species
CAUAGCGACUAUCGUGGCAUAUCAAUAAGCGGAGGAAAAGAAACUAACAAGGAUUCCCCUAGUAACGGCGAGUGAAGCGGGAAGAGCUCAAAUUUGAAAUCUUAAAGGGUUUCCCUUUACGAAUUGUAGUUUAAAGAAGUGUUUUCUGUUGGAGUUUCGGUAAAAGUUCUUUGGAAUAGGACAUCAUAGAGGGUGAGAAUCCCGUAUUUGACCGUUACUUUCCAGCUGUGUGAUACACUUUCAAAGAGUCGGAUUGUUUGGGAAUGCAGUCCAAAAUGGGUGGUAAAUUUCAUCUAAAGCUAAAUAUUGGCGAGAGACCGAUAGCGAACAAGUACCGUGAGGGAAAGAUGAAAAGAACUUUGAAAAGAGAGUUAAACAGUACGUGAAAUUGUCAAAAGGGAAGCGUUUGACACCAGUGUUGUUUAGUUGAAAAUCAAUUCAAUAAUUUUUGAUUUUAAGUAGUAUUGACUUCAUCAGCUUGCUGCUUUCUUGUCAGGAAUUAUUGAAUGCACUUUUCAGUUAACAAGUCAACAUCAAUUUCUUUUGUUGUAAAAAGGGUAAGAGGAAGGUGGCUUACGCUUCGGCGUCAAGUGUUUAUAGCCUUUUACCCUCUGCAAUCGGAGAGAUUGAGGUACAUGCAGCGUAGACUCCUUCGGGGUUAGAUACACUUGUGCUAAGCUAUAGCCUUGUAUAGACAACUUGUUGACUAUGCUCAGUCAUGUAGCUUACUCGCUUGUGCUAUUUUACCUACGCUUAGGAUGUUGAUAGUCACAGCGUGUAC